rnacentral:rRNA from 1 species
AUUGAACGCUGGCGGCAUGCCUUACACAUGCAAGUCGAACGGCAGCACGGGAGCAAUCCUGGUGGCGAGUGGCGAACGGGUGAGUAAAGUAUCGGAACGUGCCCAGCCGUGGGGGAUAACGUAGCGAAAGUUACGCUAAUACCGCAUACGAUCUAUGGAUGAAAGCGGGGGAUCGCAAGACCUCGCGCGAUUGGAGCGGCCGAUAUCAGACUAGGUAGUUGGUGGGGUAAAGGCUCACCAAGCCGACGAUCUGUAGCUGGUCUGAGAGGACGACCAGCCACACUGGGACUGAGACACGGCCCAGACUCCUACGGGAGGCAGCAGUGGGGAAUUUUGGACAAUGGGCGAAAGCCUGAUCCAGCCAUGCCGCGUGCAGGAUGAAGGCCUUCGGGUUGUAAACUGCUUUUGUACGGAACGAAAAGGUUUGGCCUAAUAAGCUGAGCUCAUGACGGUACCAUAAGAAUAAGCACCGGCUAACUACGUGCCAGCCGCCGCUGUAA